UACGAAGGUGGCAAGCGUUGUUCGGAUUUACUGGGCGUACAGGGAGCGUAGGCGGUUGGAUAAGCCCUCCGUGAAAUCUCCAGGCUUAACCUGGAAAGUGCAGAGGGGACUGUUCAGCUAGAGGAUGGGGGAGGAGCGCGGAAUUCUCGGUGUAGCGGUGAAAUGCGUAGAUAUCGAGAGGAACACCUGCGGCGAAGGCGGGUUGCUGGGCUGACACUGACGCUGAGGCGCGAAAGCUAGGGGAGCGAACGGG
rnacentral:rRNA from 1 species